GGCGCAAUGCUUUCUUUGCCAGGUCUCAUGUCAGUGCCUGCGUUUCAUCUGAACACUUCCGCCCUGCUGCAGGAGUAAGGACAGACAACUUCAGACCUUCUUUCGGGACUCCUCCCACUCCCCCUCAGGAUAGACCUGUCUCAAGAUGCAACUGUGGGGUGAGGAAACGGAUGACCCCAUCUUUCUCCGGGUUUUAGAAUUCUUCUUCUCCAGUCCUUAGUCUCUUUCUGGCCUCAAACUCUAACUGUCCCCAAUCCUAACUCAGGAACUAUUUUAUUAACAUUCAACAAUUUCCUGAAUAACCACACAACGUAGUCUGUACUGACAUGCUAAAACCCCCACACAACUCAGGCCCUGUUAUCCCAGCUCCAGUUUUAAAUGUGUGAAAAGAAUGUGUCUUCACCCUAGAGCCAUUCUCCUAAGUACCGCAAAACAUUCGUACUGUUAAAUGUUAUCACAGAGAUAAAACAUCCAUUCUCUAUCAUCAGAACAGGGAGACUAAAUUCUUGUUUCUUACUCCAACAUAAAAAUUCUCCCUGCAAUUUACAGAGCCACCUCAGUGCCAGUGCGAUUAUUUGAUAAUUCACGGCAACUGUUUAGGACCUGGGGCCUGGGACAUGAAGUACUUAAAUUUAGCUAUCAGAAGAUACACACAUUAUCUCUCACAAUAAUACCUGGGGGUGGCUAUUACAUCACACCCUACUCCCCCAUUAUAGGAACAUGUAGCCUCGGAGUAAAGGAGCUUCCCCAAGGUGUGCGCUCUCCUUCCCACAAGGACCCCAGCUGUGCCCACCGACCUCAGGACCCGCCCAGUGUGCCGACCCAGCGGGACCCAACGCACGCGGCUUAAACAACUAUGCUACAAGGGGCCCUUCUUUGGACAAGGCCUUUAUCCCUGCCCCGAGGAUGAAGACUGUUUCUUUUGACCUGCAUUGGCAAAGAAGAUUCCAAACUCAGAGAAGGGCAAAGGAGGGAGGUUAAACUUUUACUUUUUACGCGAGAUGAAACUCAACAUAGCAUAAAAAUAACCAAGUAAAAAUUAACAACUCGGCCGGGCGUUGUUGGCGCACGCCUUUAAUCCCAGCACUCGGGAGGCAGAGGCAGGUGGGUCUCUGUGAGUUCGAGACCAUCCUGGUCUACAAAAGCUAGUUCUAGGACAGCUUCCAAAGCCACAGAGAAACCCUGUCUCCAAAAACAAAAACAAACAAACAAAAAAACCGUCUUAGCAACUCAGUGGCAUUUAUUACACUUAAAACAGUCAGCAAUAACCACUUCGCCUCCUAAUUCUGACCGGUUCCAUCAAAAGGAAACCCCCAUACAAAUGAAGUAGUCACUCCGUUCCCUAAUCCCUGAAAACAGCUAUUCCAUUUUCUUUCUCUACAAAUUUACCUUUUCUGUAUAUUUCAUAUAAAUGGAGUUGUGUGCCUUUUUGGCAGUGUGUGUGUGUGUGUGUGUGUGUGUGUGUGUGUGUGUGUGUGUAUAAUAGGCUGGCCUCGAACUCACUCUGUAGCCCCAGCAGUCUUUGAACCUACAAAUGUUGGACCUAAACCUCCCUAGUAGCUAAGAUCACAGGCCUGCACUAGCAGGCCUGGUCUUGUCUGGCUAGGUCAAAGAAUCCAGACAAGGUUAUUCCAAGUUGUAGCAUGCAUCACAAACUACAUCGGUUUUUA
ensembl:lncRNA